rnacentral:rRNA from 1 species
UACGGGGGGGGCAAGCGUUGUUCGGAAUUACUGGGCGUAAAGGGCUCGUAGGCGGCCAACUAAGUCAGACGUGAAAUCCCUAGGCUCAACCUAGGAACUGCGUCUGAUACUGGAUGGCUUGAAUCCGGGAGAGGGAUGCAGAAUUCCAGGUGUAGCGGUGAAAUGCGUAGAUAUCUGGAGGAAUACCGGUGGCGAAGGCAGGUCUCUGGGCUGAAACUGACGCUCAUGCACGAAAGCGUGGGGAGCAAACAGG